UGAAAGCCUCCCAAGCCCGGGCACAACACAAACCCUGGUGCCUCAGGCACAACGGAACUGCAACAGAGCGAGUGCGCCUCAUGCCGAUUGCACCCAAAACGACUCUCGGUACCGGAUAUCUCGGCUCUCGCAUCGAUGAAGAACAUAGCGAAAUGCGAUGCUUGGUGUGAAUUGCAGAAUCCCGUGAACCAUUGAGUCCUUGAACGCAAGUUGUGCCCGAAGCCAUUAGGCCAAGGACACGCCUGCUUGGGCAUCACGCAUCGUCGCGCCUACCUCACGCGGGGCGCGGUAGAAGAUGGCUUCUUAGGGCCUCCAUCCCCUGGCUACUUGAAUUGAUGCCCUCCCCCGAUGCCGGCAACAAUCCAUAGGGAUGUUCAAGAAUGGACGUGCCCGCGUUGACCCACGGGGAGGGUUGAACCCCGAAUCCAACAGUAACCCCUGGUCAGGCGG
rnacentral:misc_RNA from 1 species